rnacentral:rRNA from 1 species
CAUUGCGCCUUCGCGGACCUCCGUGGAGGCACGUUCGGCUGAGCGUCGC